UACAGAGACUGCAAGCGUUGUCCGGAAUCAUUGGGCGUAAAGAGCGUGUAGGCGGUCCAGCAAGUCUGGUGUGAAAUCUUCCGGCUCAACCGGAAGCGGUCACUGGAUACUGCUGGACUUGAGUCCGGAAGAGGAGAGUGGAAUUCCUGGUGUAGCGGUGGAAUGCGCAGAUAUCAGGAGGAACACCUAUGGCGAAGGCAGCUCUCUGGUACGUGACUGACGCUGAGACGCGAAAGCGUGGGUAGCAAACAGG
rnacentral:rRNA from 1 species